AACGAACGCUGGUCGGCGUGCUAACACAUGCAAGUCGAGACGGAAAGUCCCUUCGGGGUACGGAGUAAAGACGGCGGACGGGUGAGUAAUACAUGGAUAAUCUCCCUCGAGCCUGGGAUAACCCUGCGAAAGUGGGGCUAAUACCGGAUAAGACCACAUGACGCAUGUCACGGGGUAGAAGGUGGCUUGUAUUUAUAUGAGCUAUCACUUGAGGAUGAGUCCAUGGCCUAUCAGCUAGUUGGUGAGGUAAGAGCUUACCAAGGCUAUGACGGGUAGCUGGUCUGAGAGGACGACUAGCCACACUGGGACUGAGACACGGCCCAGACUCCUACGGGAGGCAGCAGUGGGGAAUAUUGGGCAAUGGGCGAAAGCCUGACCCAGCGACGCCGCGUGGGUGAUGAAGGCCUUCGGGUUGUAAAACCCUUUCGUGCGGAAAGAAUAGUCUCGUAGCGAAUAACUAUGGGAUUUGACGGUACCGCAGGAAGAAGCACCGGCUAACUCCGUG
rnacentral:rRNA from 1 species